AUUGUUUAAUGUUAUUUUCAUUUUCAAAUAACAUUGUUAUAUACAUGGCAUGGGUGGCCUUGUGGUUAAACUGCUGGCGCUCUCACCGCUGUGGUCCGAUUCCCGGGCACAGACCAUAUGUGAGUUUGACUUUUGUUUGAUGUGUUGUUCUCUCCCUUGCCACAAGGGUUUUCUCAGGUUCCUCCGGUUUUCCUCCCUCAGUAAAAAUCAACAUGUGAGGAGUGCUGUGUGCUAAAAUACUUAAGUAGAGGUUAAGUGAGUAUGAGAGUAGGGUCCACAUUUAUUGGCUCCACAAAGGAGGACUUAUUACCGUGACCAGGCUGAAAGCCUGCGUCACGGUUAUAAAAUGCAGUCGCUGUGUUUUUUUUUCCAUGUCGCACCUGAACCAAGCCCCUCACGGUCAGAUUCUGUCCACGGGGCUCCCAAGAUAGCCGCUACCCAAAGUAAACAUUUGAUCACUUCAUUCUUCGAGUUAGAAUACUAAAGCCAAUUUCCCGACGAUKRCACAAAGCUAGGGAGCAAUUUGYCUUGGUUUCUUGACGACAAGACAUUCCACACGUGUCUAAAAUCUCCAUGUACGUGUCCGAACGAGUUCGAAGUCGUAUUACAUAAUCACCGUCUUUCGAGAGCACGAGUCUGUACACAUGGAUAUGUUUAAAUUAUAUUACCGUUUAACAGGAUACUAAUAAGCAAAACGCUUUAGAAAAUAUUCGGAUAAUUAAAAAUUAGAGUAAGAUAAAAAAGAAGUUAGUAAAACACGUUUUAGUGUUCGUUCACGUGUUUACCUGACCGGGAUUCCUCUGUUAACUUCCCCUACCCAUCAUGCACACCGAAAAACCACGAAGUUUUUCAACGCUGAUUGUAGCCUUCGUCAGCCUUGGUGGGAUUUUACCUUGCUUUAAAUUGGCUUCAAAUGGAUAAGCAUGAUCAAACAACAGAUACACAAAUCAGGCAGGCCAGCAAAGUAUCAAUGGCCGCCACCCCUUCUGGUUGUGAGGGAGUAUCAACGGGUACAAAAAACAACCUGGCCAGCAAACUAUAUCAGAAGUAUAAGCUUAAACAUAUUAUGACAAUGACAUUUCUCAGACAAUAUAGUCUUAUUCAGGACUCAAAAAAGGUAUUGUUUUUUGUGAUCACCCUUAUGGUUUUGAUUCAUAUGCUUAAUUUGUACAAGUUGCAUGACCUUAACUCAAACAAUGUUGAAGAUAAAAAAAAAGCCAAAAAGUACUACAACAUUGAAUAUCAAUCGAUGUUAUUAAGGUUAAUGGACUGCACUUUAUAUUCAAUAUGCUGUACACUGAAUAUAGACAUUGAACUUUGUGUGUUUAUGUUGUUGAAUAUUACUUAUUUACAAUUGUUUACCAUAAUAUGUACCUUUCUAAUUGGUGUUGUUUACUCAUUAAUUCAUGUAUACUGUGUCUUUGGUCUAAAUAUUGAUUUUGAUAGAUGUUUUUCAGAGGCAGUUGAAUCAUGUAUAGAAAUCAAUGAAAAAAAAACAAUCUUAUUGCCAAUAAAUGAAUGUAGAUCUCGGCAUGCAAAGUUUAUAUAUUGUAAUAACCAUCUGAAGUAUAAAUUACAUACCAUUCAAAGAGAUCAUGAACCAAGCAGACUACCUAUAAGCAGGCUUACACGUGCAUUCCAUAAAAGUAGACGUGUCAGAAGGGCUUUAAGAAGAAAGAUUGCAAGUAUACCACAAUCAUCAAAGAUUCAUUAUAUCAAAAAAUAUGUUUUAGGUAAAAAACUACUUCUUGAUGAAGAUAACAGAUGCUUAUGUAAGCCUAAAAAACAUUUAAUGAUCACUAAUAAUAAACAUAAGAUUUCAGAUAACAGUGCACAAAAAGAAAGGGGAAAAUCCUCAUCUUUACCAUAUUGUAAUUCCAAUAAUUUGUCAACUGGUGAAUAUAAAGGGUUGAAUCAUAGAAGAUCAUAUUGCUAUUAUUGCCUUUGCAGGGAUAUAGAGAAAAAUCCUGGUCCACUAACACCUGAAAACUUAAAUAUAUCACCCACACACCAUAUCAAAGCUCUGAUAAGUUAUAUCAAACCAUUAAUAAUAACUCAAAUCUAUGACCUUAUUCAUUGUUUUAUUAAAUUAAACAGACAAUAUAAAAUGUUCAAUUUUUUACAGAUACAAUUGUUGUUAUCUGGAGAUAUUGAAUUAAACCCAGGACCUGUUACACAAAAUGAUGCUUUUCAGUUAAUUUCUCCGAUUCCUUCAAUAAUUUUAAUGGCGUCUAGAUUAGCUGAUCUUGGUUUACAGUCAAGGGAUGUUGGUGGUGCAGGUGAUUGCUUCUUUAGAUCUAUAUCACACCAGUUAUAUGGCAACUGCAAUUAUCAUAUGAGUAUACGUGCUAGUGGAGUUCAGUAUAUGAGAGAUCACCCUGAAAGAUUUAUUGAGAGCAAUACUGAAAGUUCAUGGUUGAGAUAUCUUACUAAUAUGUCACUUCAAGGUACAUGGGCUGAUGCACUUGUUAUUCAAGCGGUUGCUGAUGCACUUAAUGUAUCUAUUCAGAUAACAGAAUCAAAUCCAGGAUUUGCACCACUUACUGUUGUUAAUCCAAUUGAAGUAAGAGAUAACCCAUCCACAAUUAAUAUUGGUCAUAUUGAUGAAUGUCACUAUGUAUCAACUACUGCAUUACAGUCAUAUACCAUUCAGUCAAAUUGCAAUGAAAUUUUGCCUUCAAUAAACAAACAGUUUGUUAUGUCCAUAUAUGCAAUAUCUUUUUCUAUAAUCAAAACAUGUAAUUACUGGGAUUAUUCAACACUACAAGCUCUUUACGAACAUGCAACAUUGUUCUACAACAACUUGGCAACACAGAAUAUUACAGAAAUGGCAAACAUGAUAAACAUUUAUGAUGCAGCUAUUGAAGUACAAUACUUACAGAAGACUUAUGGCACUUUUACAGAUGCUUAUGAUGCUAAUAAAGCAACACUAAUUGAUUGCAUCAAGGAAAAUACAAAACGCAAACCAACUGGAUUUCUGUUUUGUUAUAAUAAUAAUUACUUAAGCAUCAUAGUACAAACCCAUCAACAAAGCAUAAUUUAUUAUUUGUUAACCUUAACAAAAGGACAAUUCUCUCUGUUUACGCCGGCAUUUAAUGAUCUUGAUUCACUUACAGAAAAAAUAUGUGACAUUUACAGAUUAGAUGGCUAUACUAAUUAUCAGAAGCAAUAUGUCAGUUAUUUUUUACUUUGUUUAACUCAUGUCUCAAAUGAAUCCAGGAAAAAGAUUGUGAGAAAAUUUAAAUCAACUCAACAAAAAAAGCAGAUAAAUAAAAAAUACAAUGAUUGCUAUCUGCAAAUGGAACCUGCUAAGAAAAAAGCAAAAAUUGAAAAUGUUAUAAGACAACAAAGAUACAACAUAAUGCAUAGUGCUCAAAAGAGAGAUCUCCUUAAUAGAUAUGCACAAAAAUACAAACAAAUGGAUGUUUCACAAAAGAAAGAAAUGCUUAAAAAAAAAGCAAACAAAUAUGAAAAGAUGGAAAAUGAACAAAAAGAAAAAGACCUUGAAAACAAAAGAAAACAAUCAGCUAAAGCCCAUAAAAAUAGAAAUAUCUCAAAAUUUAAUGUUGACUUUUGCAUUUCACAGUUUCAAAACAAAAUAAGGCAAGGUCCUUGUUAUAUAUGCACUGUUUGUAACAGAAUGCUAUAUAGAAAAUCUGUAUUAACCUUUAAAAAACAAAAAUAUGUAAAAUAUGUUCAUGAACACAUCUUUACAGACAAAGUUUCAUUUGACAAAAACAAAUAUAUUUGUAAAACUUGUCAUUCAAAAGUAAUUAAAGGAAAGAUUCCUUGCCAAGCUGUAUGUAAUGACAUGUAUGUUGAUAAUAUACCUACAGAACUAUUUUGUUUAGAGAAACUUGAACAGAUAUUAAUAGCCCAAAGAAUUAUUUUUGAGAAAAUUGUUGUAAUGCCAAAAGGCCAACAAAGAAAGAUCAAGGGUGCUAUAUGUAAUGUCCCUGUUGAAUGUGAUAAGACCUGUGCUAUUCUUCCACGUCCACCUGAAAGAUCUGGAAUUAUUUUGCUGAAACUGAAACGUAAAUUACAAUUUAGAGGACAUGUGUACUUUCAAGCAGUGCGGCCUGAAAUUCUACUUAAUGCUCUUAACUGGCUAACAACAAACAAUACAUUGUAUAAUAAUAUCACAGUGGAUGUUGAAAGAAUUGACAAAGAACUUAUAUCUUUACAGAAUAAUGAACCAAAUUCAACAGAUAUCCCUACAACCACCACAAUCAACAAUACUUCCCAACAUGCACCAGAAAAUGUACAAAAUAUACAAACAGAUAAUUCUGAUGACAAUGAUAAUGAUGAAACCACCCAAACACACCUGUCAUCAAUUAAAAGUGAUCGAUCUUCAGAUAUUAAUGAGGAAGAAGAGAGAGAUGAUCCAUUAAAUGAGUAUAGAGCUCCAACUAAUGAGACAUGUAUGCAGUCAGUUAUUCCUGAUUAUCCUGUUACUAUUGAUCAAGAAAAUGUUUCAGCAGGAAAUGAAAUAUAUAACAUUGCACCAGGAGAAAAGAAACAUCCUGUAUCAUUUAUGAUGGAUAAACAUUGYGAAGAAUUAGCAUUUCCAGUUUUGUUUCCUAGAGGUAGAUUUGGAUACACAACAGAAAGAAAGAUUAAAUUGACACCAACCAAAUACUUUAAUGCAAGACUACUUCACCAUAGUGGCAGAUUUGCAACAAACCCAGAAUACUUAUUCUUUGCACAGUUUAUAAUUGAACAGAAAAAGGUUUCUGAUAGUAUAAACAUUGCUUUGAAAAAAGUCCAUGGGCAAUCUAUUACUGUGUCACAAUUAAAAUCCAAUGUGCAAACCUUACAGAACCUAAUUUGUCAGGAUCAAGCAUAUCUUUUCUUGCGGCAAAUCCCAGGAACUCCUCCCUACUGGCAAAGAUUUAUGUAUGAAGUUGUAGCUAUGGUAAAACAACUUGGUAUUCCUACAUGGUUCAUGACAUUAUCUUGUGCUGAUUUAAGAUGGCCAGAGUUAUUUCAAAUAAUUGCAAGGACAAGGGGAAUGAAUAUUACUGAUGAGCAAGUUGAAGCAAUGUCUUAUAAUGAGAAAUGCUCAAUGCUAAAUUUGAAUCCUGUUGUGGUUGCAAAACACUUCCAAUACAGAGUUGAAACGUUUUUCACUGAAGUGUUACUAAGCAAAAGCAAACCUAUUGGCAAAGUAGUAUAUUACGCCCUUCGCAUAGAGUUUCARAUGAGAGGAUCUCCACACUUGCAUGCAUUAAUAUGGACUGAAGACUGUCCAAAACUAACACCCGAAACCAAGGAAUCUUAUAUACAAUUCAUAGAUAAACAUGUACAGGCAUUCUUACCCAAUAAAGAAACAGAUCCUCAGCUUCAUGACUUGGUUAAUUUCUACCAAAAGCAUACUCAUUCAAAGACCUGCCGAAAAUAUAAAAACAUCCAGUGCAGGUUUAACUUUGGACAGUUUUUUACAAACAGAACAAUUUUAGCAGAACCACUUCCUGAUGAUCUUGAUGAGGAAAAAAAACAGUAUGCACUAUUAAAACAAAAAGAAAUCCUCAUGGCUGUUAAAGACAAAAUUAAUAAGGUGUUAAAUCCUAGUAAACCUCAAGAAUAUGAACCAAACUUAACAGAGGCUGACAUCUUUACAUCCCUUGGUAUUACAGAGGAACAAUAUUAUGCAGCAUUAUCAAUGUCACCUGAUUCAGACUAUGAUCUUCAUCUCAAAAGACCUUUAGACAGCUGUUUUAUCAAUAAUUAUUUUGUUGCUGGAAUAAAGGGAUUUUCUGCUAAUGUUGAUUUACAGCCAGUAUUUAACCAUUAUAAAUGUAUAACAUAUGUAUGCUCGUAUUUUACCAAGGAUGAAACUGAGUGUUCACAGGCUAUCAUGAAUGCUGCAAAAGAAGCAAAGAAUUCUAACAUGAAUGUCAAAGAUGGUUUGAAAAAGAUAGGAGCAGCUUUUCUUUCUACUCGAGAAGUUAGUUCACAAGAGAGUGUAUAUCGAUGCAUGCCUGAACUAUGGCUUAGAAAAAUAUUUCCAGGAACUGUAUUUGUAAGUACUGAUCUACCAGACAAGAGAAUACAUGUCACAAAAUCUAAGCAAGAAUUAGAGGAUCUUGAUGAAGACAGUACUGAUAUAUACAAGUCUAAUAUUAUUGAGAGAUAUGGUAUCAGACCAGAUUCAAUUCCUGCUGUUAACAACCUUUGCCUUGCUGAGUUUGUAGCUUACUACUAUAAAGACUAUCGAAAAGAUUCCCACGAAACUAGUGAUACACAACCAGACAUUCUUACAGAUGAAGCCAUUGAAAUGCAACAUUCAGAAUCUGAUAGCACUUCCUCCCUUCCAUCUACCAUUAAGUUAAUGAACACAAAUGAAAAGAUGAAAUGCAGAAAAGUAAGAGCUGUAAUUAGGUAUCAUACCCCAAAUAAGACUAAAGAACCAGAAAGAUACUUUCAUCAUUUGCUAAUGUUAUAUUACCCAUGGAGAGAUGAAUCUGAACUACUAGGUACAGAUCAAUCCUAUGCUUCUAAAUUUUAUGAAGCUAAUGUACAAGAAAUUAUAGAAUUAAAUCGAUCAGUAUUUGAACCAGAUGCAGAUGCUGUCACAGAAGCCCUUGAGUACCUUAGAAACAACCAAGGUAACAUAGCUCAUUCAUUUGAUCCUAUCAAUGACCAAGAAAAUUCUGAUCUGCAGACGACACAGAUACCAGAUGACACAUUAGAUGAGGAAUCAUUUACUGAACAACUGCCUUCAGACUUAGGGCCAAUAUCUGAGUCUAGCCAAACUAAAUCUCAAGCAAUAACUGCAUAUACCCAGCCUACUGAAAUAUCAGAUGAUACACUACGUCUUAACGUUAGAUCAUUGAAUACUAAACAACGCUGUGCAUAUAACAUUGCUCUUUCAUGGUGUAGAACUACAAUGAAAAAUAUGAAUUGCUUACAAGAACAACAAGUUAAACCAAUUGAUCUCUUUAUAACUGGUGGUGCUGGUGCAGGGAAAAGUCAUUUAAUCAAAGCAAUAUAUCAUACAGCAGUUAAAACCUUUAGAUACCAUACUGUGAAUCCAGAUAGACCUACUGUUGCUUUGAUGGCACCAACAGGCGUUGCAGCUAUCAAUAUUAAUGGCACUACUAUUCAUACUGCACUGGCAAUUCCUAAAGAAGCAGGGGAUAUGCUAAAACCUAUGUCUGACCAAAAAAGAACACAAUUAAGAUUGACUUUAUCUGAGCUAAAAAUAAUAAUAAUAGAUGAAAUAUCUAUGGUUGCAAAUACUUCUCUUCUCAACAUUCAUCAAAGGUUAAAGGAAAUCUUUAAUACACCUAACUCCCAGUUAUUUGCUGGUAUCAGUUUUAUAGCUGUAGGUGAUUUAUAUCAAUUGCCACCAAUACGUAGAAGAGCUGUCUUUGAGGAAUACAAAAAUGAUGCAUUUAACUUAUGUCACCCAUGGAGUGUUUUUCAAAUGAUUGAGCUCACAGAGAUAAUGAGACAAAAGGAUGAUCAAGCAUUCACUGAACUUUUAAACAGAUUUCGAACAGGUUCACAAACUGAAGCAGAUAUCCAAUGUAUUCAAUCCCGUUCAAUCUCUCCUUCUGACAGUAACUAUCCACAUGAUGCUCUACAUAUUUGGGCAGAAAAUAAGCCUGUUGAUGACUACAAUACAAAAAGGUUAAGUCAAAUACCAGCACAGGAAUACAUUCUUACUGCCAUUGAUCAAUAUCCACAGCAUGUAAGUCAACAAGAUAUAAACAGGGUCUUAUCAAGAAGCAGAUCAGAGACCAAUGGACUUGAUUUCUAUAUAUCCAUUAAAGAAACUGCCAGAGUAAUGUUGACAACAAAUGUAGAUAUUGCUGACAGAUUGAUAAAUGGUCAAAUGGGAACUGUAAUAAAGAUCAGAAUUGAUCAAAAAACUCAGAAGCCCAAUGGUGUUUAUGUAAAGUUUGAUGACAAUCAAGCAGGAAAGAAUGCAAUGGCAAAGCAUACAGAUCCAUUUGUUCAUGAAAACCAGGUUGUUCCUAUUGAACCAGUUCUAGCAAGAAUAAAAGUUAGACCAGGCAAAUCUUCAUCGCCUGAAAUACAGAGAACACAAUUUCCAUUAGCUCUGGCUUAUGCUUGUACAGUUCAUAAAGUACAAGGACUGACUUUACAAAAUGUUGUAAUUAGUUUUGAUCUGAUCAAACAAAGAUCAUUCAAUUAUGGUCAAAUAUAUGUCGCAUUAAGUCGUUCAACAUCAUUACAAGGAAUUCAUAUUCUAGGGCAAAUUGAAAUGAAACACAUUAAAGCAAAUCUUAAAGUACACAAGGAAUAUGAAAGGUUAAGAAGUAUUUCAUCAAUACCAAAUAAUAUUCCAUGCCUACAUGAAUCAGUUCAACAGAAACAUGGUGAUACCAUUUCACUAUUGAAUAUAAGAUCUCUUAGAAAACAUAGCAUUGAUAUCAAGUAUGAUGCAAACAUCCUCAAUAGUGAUAUCUUAGCUCUUACAGAAACUCAACUCCUACCUAAUGACACUGCGGAUAUAGAUAUAAGAUCAAACUUAGAACCAUUUACACUUUUUAGACAAGACCAUCCAUCAGACAAAUUCUCAAGUCUAGCAUUAUGCAUCAAAGAUCAUAUGUAUAUUGAACAGUAUCAAUUCUUUGAUUCAAUUAAUGCCAUCAAAGUUCUCAUUACAAACACAAUAACACAUCAAAGCCAAUCGCUCCUACUGCUAUACCGUAAGGAAUCCUCAAAUAUACCUCUCUACAUAUCUAACAUGCAAGAGAUAUUAAAUAUUGACAAUAUUGAUAUAGUGCUUGGUGACUUUAACAUAAACUACUUAAAUUCCCAUGAAUGUCAGCAACUCAAAUCAUUAAUGACCUCUCUAGACUAUAACCAAAUUGUAGAAAAGCCAACAUUUAUUUCUGGCAGUUUAUUAGAUCAAAUUUAUCUUAGACGUUCACACUAUAAUGUUCUUCAAAAUGAUGUUUUUAGUGUAUAUUACUCUGAUCAUGAUGCUGUGCAAACCCAUAUACAAAAAACAAACCUAGCUAGCUAGUACCUAUUAUAAAUUAUCAUGUAAAUACUUUUACAUGAUUGUAUUCACUUUACACAUGUCAAUCAAAUUAAUAUUGUUUGCCUUAAACAAUAUUAACUUGCUCUUCCAAUGUUCUUCUAAAUGAGAAACAACUGCUACUAGUAACAGCUAGAAACUGUAUAGUCAAGAAAAAUAACUUCCAAUGAUUCUUCUCCCCAUCCCUGGGAAAACAGGGGUAAUCUUCAAGCUAUCAGUCCUUCCUGAUACACAGAAGAUUAUCCACAGGUUCUCGCAAUGCUCUCUGCAAGGCUUACAUGUUAUUUGCCUUGCAUAUAAUAGUGAUAUCCAUAAAAACAAAAUGAAGACAUCCAUCUCAAGGUUAGUUUAUAUUUGACUUAUAAACCUCCAAUGACAUUUGACAUCAACUAUAAUAUCACAUUUCUCUCAACAAAUCAACAUUUACAUCACAAAAUAAUAUUAUUAUCAACAAUUAUCUAUAUACAAUUUAAUAGAAAACCUAAAAUAAUAAUGUCUGCAGAACCAAAAAUGAUGGAAUUUCCAAGAAACAUAAUAUACAUAAACAAAUUUAAUGUACCUUCAAUAUUAUUAUUUAAUGCAAGACAAAAGAAAUUUGGAUGACAUGUGAACUCAAAUCCACUUUCAUACAGUAAUAAGUGUAUCUGAAACAACAAGUACACAUAAUUCUCAAUUCAGAACUCUUCACAUUAAACACUCAGUGAGUAAAGUCUACCUAUACUGGCACAUUGGAUCAAAAUAACUUGAUCAACAAUAAUAUCAUAGUUCUUCAGACAAGACAAGAAGCUCCAGCAUAAAACCAACCCAAAGAACAUACUACUUUCUAUCAAGCCAACCAAGAAAUAAUACAGAUUCACUAGAUCAAUUGAUACAAAAACUGUUCAACAUUGAUACCUGAAACAUGACACCCUGCAUGCAAAGGACAUUUACUCAAGAACUUAUAUUGCUAGAUAAAGAUGAAGUACAAGACAUCUUCUCACUAAAAUAUCAUGUUUAAAUGAAUGAACACUAACAUCACCGAUAAACAUGGAAAAUCCUACAAUACAAAUUUUGAAUACUUUCCUUUGGUUACAUGUCAGGUAUAUAACAGACACAACUGGCAUCCAGAAAUCAAUAAGGAACUUAUUACACUGGAAGAUAUCUGUUAUAAUUUCAUGCUUCACAUCUUAGCGGUAUAAAUUUGAUGAAAAGACAUCAUGUCAUCAUGCAUGGUCAAUAUUCUUUCAAGUUUGAACUUAUAGCUUAAUAAACUUAUACCCUGGAAUUCAACCUAUAAUAAAUGAGCAACAGCAGAAAUAAUUAAAGAACAAAAUCACAUGUCAUUAUAAGUUAUUAUUAUUAUUACGGUAUUUAAGCAUUGAGGUGGAUGUCUUCUCUGCUUUAAACAAAAUGUUAACUGUAGAACUAUAGAACUGAUCAAACCAUAUUUGUAUACCAUUUUCAUAUUAAACCCGCAUAUAUGUGCAAUAAAAUAUAUAAGCUUACAUAUUUAUUAUUAGUUAACUUAAUAACGUUCAUAAGUUAUUUAAAUCACAACUUAAGCUUAACUUAAUUAUAAGCUGCAGUUUCACACUAUCACAUUACUUACAUUUCACUAGAGAACUCUCCAAGAGAUUUACAGCGACUUAAAUUAAUACAUGCAUAAACAAAUUUGAUUGCACAUUCUCCAAGCAUAUUUAAAUGUAUGUCAAGUGUUGAAGAUCCAGCCAGAGGUCAGCCAGAGAAAAUCUAGCCAUACGUACGGGUACGUACAGUCAUAUAAAUCCGCCAUCUUGAAAUUGACAAUCUCCAGCGCACUGAUUGGCUGAUUAGAGACGCACUGUGAUCUCGCGAUAUCACAAACAUGCACAUGCAUAAAAUCAUGACUUUCUUUUCUUUUUUGGAUUUUUCUUUUCUUAUUUGAUUUAUAAGAUAAAACAUUUGAUUUUUAAAAGCAUAUUUCCUUGUUUCCCAGAAGUAAUAAUAUUUGUCCUAUUAGCCUCGAUAUCAAAACCAACCAAUCAAAAGUGUCAUUCAAAUGCGUAUAUAAAGCACGAUCACACAUGUUCGACCUUUUCCAGUUCAGCGAGCGUCGUCAAGAAGUCAAGAAGUCAUGCAGUCGUCCAAACAAAGCAUCAGAUCAUCCAUCACUAUACAAGAAAUCCUGAUGCAAAAUGCUGAUUUAAACAAUCUGGCAUCUCCAAGAAAAAUGACACAUACCCUGAAAUGUGCAGUACUGACAAAAAGUGAACUACGGGAUAUUUCAAAUGGCAAAAUGUUCUCUAUGACUGUGGCAGACUUCGACACAACAUCUACAAUCAAAGUUGUUUGCUUUGAUGAAAACCUCUACGAUAAAUUUGAUACAACUAGAACCUAUGACAUCAGAAACUUUCGUGUCAAAAAAUCGUUGGGGAAUUAUCCUGAGCUUCAAAUUACAGAAGAAACAAAGAUCCAGACUUCCCUCUUCCAGUUUUCCGUUGAAAGGAAGUGGUUCACUGUAGGUCAGAUAAACAGAAAAGAAACCCAGAACAUCAGGUUUAUGAAUUUAAAAGCACAAAUAAUUCAAGUUGAAGACGUGGUCAAGGUUGGAAAACAUCCAAAUUUAGUAGACAAGAGAGAGGUUCAAAUUGGUGAUGACACAGGAAAUAUAGUCCUAGUUCUGUGGAGAGACAAAGCUGUAUCAUUCAACUUUCAACAAGGUCAAGUAUUGAAGCUGGAAAAUAUGCUUACCUCACAAUUUAGAGGUGUUACACAACUUAAUGCAGGUCCAGAAACUCUGUUCACUGUAAUUAAUGAGGAAAUUACUCCAGUCAUUGCAAAUGCAACCCCAGCAAAGCACUCAUGUACCCAAACUAUUAACACUAGAAUCAUUGGCCUUAAAGAUUUCACAUGUUCCAUGAGGUGCAUUAAUUGUAAAGCACUUGUUCAAAUGCAGCAAGAAACCACAAAAAAUCCAACAGAAGAGGUUCUUCUGACUUGCGAAUCAUGCACAACUGACUUCCUGCCAACUAAACUCACUAAUGAUUGCAAAAUACUUCUGAAUGAAAAUAAACAAUGGUAUUCUUGCAGUUCAGGGGUAAUCCAACAUUUAUUUGAAUGGUCUGAAGCCAAACUAUCACCUACAAAAAGUGAAAAGCUCCAACUCCUCCGCAACAACUACACCAUGAGACUAGAUACUCAACGCAGAAUUGUGGAACAUGUUGUUGUUAACAAAAAUGACCAUGAAGRUGAAGAUCAUGAAGAUGAAGAUCAAACACAGGGGGCUAAAAAGGCAAGGCAAUCUGACGAUAUGGAUACAGAUGAGUUACAAAAGAAAAAUGUAUAAGUAAAAAGGUUUUUGUAUGAACAUUCAAAAAUUAAUUGUAGUGAUACAAGGCCUUGUGCUAGACUGAUUUUCCAUCAUCUGUGAAAAAAUGCGCAAAAUAACAGUCAGUACUAGACUCUAAACUCAUUGUUUUCAUAGACAAUGGAAAACCACUCUAAAAUCACUAGAUUAGUAUCUCUUUGAGUUCUUUACGUUCGAGUUUUUAUAACAAUGUUAUGUUUUUAACAAAUGAAUGGGGGAAGGGGAAGUUGGACUGGAUGAUAACCAAAAGAAAAUUUGACCAAAGCUCAUGCUCAUGAAAAGUGCCCCCAAAAAACGCUUGUGCAUGUGAUGUGCAAAAAAAAAAUUCUUGCACUGCCACAAAUAGUUUUCCUCGUAUCUGUUUUUAGUUUCCGGUCGCAACACUUUGCUCCCCCACAAGGGAGAGGAAGGGGAGGAGGGAAGCGUUGCAACCAGAAGCUAAAAACGGAUGCGAGGGAGACUAUGCCACAAAGGCAAAAAAACAAAUUGAGUUCUACACCGCAAAAAUUCCCCAACCUGCCUCUCAACUCUCAAAGAUCUAAUGGUCUGUCCCUUAGGAACACAGACAUCAUUGACAAGUUACAAUUUAUUAAGUUAGUUAUUGUUCAACAUUAUGUUCAUUGUUAUGGAAAAAUAUGUUUCUACCUAAAAUAUUUUCAGUUUUAUACAAUGACUAAAGAAGUUUCCAGUUAAAAAAAAUAUUGUGAAAUAAAAUCCACAUUGUCAAAAUUUACUUUCAUUCAUUUUUGUUACAUAAUUAAAUAAUUCUGAUCAUUCUUUCUACAAUACAUGAAAUGCCAAACAUAAUGAAAUGGUUAUGUCUUACAGCCAAAACGAUUCAUCGAACUUUUUUUUCUGUGACCGCCCCCGACAAAUGGCAGAUUGUCUCAACA